GUAAAAAGGAUACAGUGCCCUCUUUACCUUCCUUACAGAAGAGGAAAAACGGGGGUUCAUAGCAAAAUACCCUAAUAAGGCGGACUACAGCAUCUGCUUUUCUCCCUGAUGACAGCAAAAGAAGCCUAUCCAAGGACACCUCAUUCCUAGUUCAGUAAGAUAAGCAUCUCUUGCCGUGGUUUUGCACCUGGAUCUACUUGGGAAACUCACAAAAGGAAACAGCAAAGAAGAAUAACAAUGAAAGUCACAUAUUAUAAAGAGUUGGAGGACAAUUGUUAAAAUGAGUGAAAACAACAACAAAUGAAAUUUACAGAGGCAAUACCACAAACAUGGGAAGAGCUGGAUAUCCAUGCUUCGCGACAAAACUGUGAUCGGGCAAUUCAGGAGAAAUCUGGUUCACUCCGGUUCAAUCCGUUGGUUCAGUGGUGGUCGGUGAUUGAAACACA